ensembl:lncRNA
AUAUAAAAAACCUCUGUAUACUGUGUACCUGCUGCUAAGGAAAAAAGUGGUUGGCUCGUGCACUGGCUGAGGCUGAAAAAAACAAGUGACCACUCUCAUUUUGUGGAUCAAGCAGCGAGACACACUAGCGAGACAAUUUAAUAAAAAUGUAACGGUAACCUAAGAGAAUAUGUUUAGCUCAAAAGAAAGCAAAUAUGCUAGAAGAAAGGGAGAUAGAUGCCAUUCGAAAACACGAGUGAACUUUGGUGCAGCUGGAUGCUAUUGGGUGGUCUGCGGGUCUGCAGCUGGAUGCUUUUGGCCUAUCCACUGGGUGUGGAACUCAAGGAGCAAAAUGGAUUACAUGGCGAUGCUGAUGUGGCAAUUCUUCGGUUAGAUAAUCAGGGUAAAUAGAAGUGGUCAGCUUCCUGAUAGCAGACAGCAGCAGGCGCUGGUCUGGAGGAUGGGCUUGACAUGCUUAACCACGCAUCCCAGACAGGAACGUCAGGACAUUGUCGUGGUUCCCUAAAUAUCCUCGGGACAACUGCUUGUUGCUGUGAUACUAGCUGGAAUGCCAGUAAAUGUGGCUGGUGUCAGAAAGUUAUUAGUGUGCCAUUGUGUGACUGAGGCAAUGGGGGACCAAAGAGCUGUUCUCUCUGUGGACUCCUGCACUGCACUGCUCAUCUUUCUCAGCUAGUCGACUCACUGAUCAGGAUGAGGGAUGAACUGCACUCACUGCUUACUGAGGUGCAGCUGGACUCUUUGAGCUGUGCCUGUUUUCUCAACCCUCUGGGGGAACGGCAGGUGGGCUUCAGACUAAAUGUCUUCAGACUGUCCCACCUCCACCUGUUGCCGUCCCCCCUCAACAAAUCCAUUGCAUUGCAGACCUCACUCACAGAUGGACAGGGGAAAAGACCAGGGAAUAGAUUUCUGCCUUGGUUUUUAAGUCUUAGCCAUUAAUUACAUCCACCACGCCUUUGGUUCAUCAUAUUCUUUUUUUUCUCUCUUUGAAUGCAACUGUUGUUCAGUUUUCUACAUAAACUCUUUAUUGUCCUACAGCAGAUUUGUAUGUCUAUAAGAAUCCCUGCUUGACUUUAGACAAGAUGUUCAGGAAGGAGAUGGAAAAAGGACAUUGUAUGAAUGAACUUUAGUAUGACUACAUUCUUUUAUUUCAAAUGAUUAUACUUAUUGACCUUCCAGUGUUUUUAGUUUACUUAUGCUAUUUUGCAUUUUCAGGAGCCUAAUAUGGUACUUCACUAGCCAGUUCACUCUAUAACCACUAGAGGGCUAACAUCUCUCUGAGUAGAGGGAUAGGGCAAGUGGGGGAAGUGUGUCUUUCAGUCUCCUCUCCUUACACCUAUACUAUCUACCACUGACACUCAGGUCAGGGGUCAGACAAAAGCCAAUCAGAUUAUGGAAACUGAAACCGUAUUGAAACUUAAAUGAUAUUGAAACGGACGGGGCAGUAAAUCCCUCCGCCCAAAAAUGUCACACACACCUGGACAUCAUUUUAAUUAGGAUAGUAAUUGGUAGUGAUGUCACUUUUAGAUAAGAUGAUAAUUUCUUUGAAUGGAGUGAUCAUGUGACCAUAGCGCGCCUUUAAUCAUAAGUCAUGAAAAAAAUCUGCAUUUUAAAUGUAGUUGAAAACAGGUGAAUGAAGCGUGUUGUCAGAGAUCUGGCGUUUGCAAAAUAUGGUUGCCCUUAUCAAAGUAUGGUUGCCCUUAUCAUAAAGGUAUAUGCUUUAAUGAUAGGUUUCCCAGAACUCUAACAUGUGGAGCAGUUCACCACUGACACCCAUAUUCGCAACAAACCAAUUAGGUAGUUGGAUCUGUGAGCAGGCACAACUGUCUUAUAUGUCGCCAACACCUCUAACCAAGGUGGGUAUGAGACUUAGCAGACACCAGAUUAUAUUAUUUAUAUCCAGAACAAAAGAUUAAUCAAAGACAUACAAUAGACAACUGCUUCAUGCAGGGUCCAAACAAAGUGAAUUACAAGUGUUUUUUUAAAUUGAUUUAUUUCAGAAAUAUACACACAAAAUGACAUUGUAGACCUAAGAUGACAAAACAAGCAAGCCUUGGGAUGCACAUCAGAAUCAGGGACCUCAGGACAGCAAGCACUCAAAGGCGUACCUGUAUACUAAACAACCAG